CCAGACUCCUACGGGAGGCAGCAGUGGGGAAUAUUGGGCAAUGGGCGCAAGCCUGACCCAGCAACGCCGCGUGAAGGAAGAAGGCUUUCGGGUUGUAAACUUCUUUUCUCAGGGACGAAGCAAGUGACGGUACCUGAGGAAUAAGCCACGGCUAACUACGUGCCAGCAGCCGCGGUAAUACGUAGGUGGCAAGCGUUAUCCGGAUUUACUGGGUGUAAAGGGCGUGUAGGCGGGGACGCAAGUCAGAUGUGAAAACCACGGGCUCAACCUGUGGCCUGCAUUUAAAACUGUGUUUCUUGAGUACUGGAGAGGCAGGCGGAAUUCCUAGUGUAGCGGUGAAAUGUGUAGAUAUUAGGGGGAACACCAGUGGCGAAGGGGACUUUCUGGACUGUACCUGACGCUGAGGCGCGAAAGCGGGGG
rnacentral:rRNA from 1 species